GCCCAAAUAGCUCAGCUGGUUAGAGCGCUGCAUUCACAUUGCAGAGGUCACUGGUUCAAAUCCAGUUUUGGGCACCA
rnacentral:tRNA from 1 species